GCUUAAAUAGUUUAAUUUAAAAUAUUAGGUUGUGGUUCUAAUGAUGUAUAAAUUACUUUAGGUU
rnacentral:tRNA from 1 species